ensembl:lncRNA
UCAGAAUUCACAAGUGACAAGUGAUGUCAGCCAGCCGGGCCCUCGUGUCAACCCACGACAAAAAAGGGUUUUACUUAAAGAUGGAAUACAACAAACUGUUGAUCACAUGUUAGAUCUCUUUCUGAGGAGAAGAGAAGGAGAGGAUUUCUGACUUACUAUUAAUGUGCAGUGGUUUGAGAUACGGACUAAAUAAUUCAAAGCUACCAGCACAGUCAGUGUCAUGUCACACGAUGAUUGCAUCACAAAUUGUAAGCAUCAUACAGACGGGAGUUUCCAGUUGCAAAAUAUUUGUUAAAUAUUUUACAGAAUGUAUCUGGAGCAUUCACAGGGCCGAGAACCACCACGUACAUUCUACACAUGAAAAUUGACCACUGCCUUCAUUAAUAUUCAAGCAGCCCUUUGAUACGUCAAAUGGGUAAAGGUUGUUUAGUCUCUUUCUAUGUUUUUGAACGUGUAUCGCAGAAGUCGAAUCUACACUAUUGUAAUAAAGUACCUAUCAUUUUAAAAAUCAAACGAAAAAAACACAUUAUCAUUCAUAACCCACUGAUACAAGUUUAUGAUUGUAAGGCAGAUAUUCUGUAAGCUCUCCAGUAUAAACAUCAGCUCGUUGGUCAGAGAGGUUUUUUCAUUUCCUCUUUUUUUAAGCCAGAUAUAAUUUUCUAUAUUUGAUCAAUACAAUGUAUUUGUGGGUCUUUAUGAAGCUGCUGUGUCUUCAUUAGCAGCGCUUACAGAGAUGGUUAUUCUUUGUUUUCAUUACUGGAGUGUAAUCUCAAGAUUUGUUUGUCUCGUUAGCAUGAAAGCUUUUUUUUGUCUUAUAAUAAUGAAUUAUGUAUCACAUAUACACACUAAAAUAUUUGUAUUUGUCCAGGAGGAGUGCUUGAUGUUAAUCACAUCUUUUGGCCAUUCUUUACAUUGCAAAGUUUAUGCAAAGUUUAGUCAAAUCCUCGAGGGCACUAGUUACGAAAUGCACUUCCCUAUUCUUCAUGACUGAAAACGAAGGUGGCACUAAUGAACAGUUACAUCGUGCUAUGACAGACUAAAUUAGCUACAUUUAAAUCUCAAAUCUUACCCCAGAGCUUAAACUAAACUGUUAAUGCCUGUUACCAAGUGAAAUUGAAAAAUAAAGACCAGACAACCCAGGCAAACUAAUAUGUGGAACUAAUUGCAUGGCAUAUUUUACCUCUGAAACUUUCUCAAGCAUAAAGACAUUAAUAUCAACUCCCCACUUGCUCUCUGCUUAAGUGCACUUUGAGAUUAAAAAGCAGAAGUGUGCGAAACUACCCCGCUUUCCUCAUGACGGACACUCAUUCUUAGUUUGUGCCGUUUCCACUUUAACUCCCUUUUAAUGCCCAUCGUGCGGUAACGGCUGUAGACAAUCGGGGGGCCGAUGAGAAGGGCAAGUGUCUGUGUUUGUGUUCCCUCAUGCAUUCACUCGUAACCACACUGCGAGUAUGGGGACUGUGGAGUCCUAUUGAGAGUGAUGUCACAUACUCUCCCACCCUGCAAACAACAAAUCACCUUCACCCCAUCUAUAAUACAUAUCCACAUCCACCCCUGGAGGUUUUAUCGGCUAAAUACCCUUCAGUCGGACAUCGAAGGCAUAAGUCUGUGGUUAAAUUUGCCUUUGCACCUCCGAGUGGCACAUCCGACUAGGAGACAACCGAUAAAAGGUACCUUUAAAAACAGCAUUUGGGGUCUUUUCAUGGUAAUGAAGAUGGAGGAACUGCACUCCUGACGGCGUCACUAGAUAAACAAACCUGGGAUCUAUUCGAGCUUGGAGCAGGAGGGAGUGUUUGGGCCGAGUGAGGCAAACACAACAUGGUUGAUAUCUGCAUCUUUGCAUGUUUUUGUGGAUGCUGAGAUUAAAAAAAGAUUGUCGCUCUUCGUUCGGGUACUAACGUGCUACGUGUGCACGUGUGCAACUUCACAAAUGGAAUCUUGUGGCUGCACUUUGAGGUGGAAGCAGCCUAGCAGAGGGGAAGAUGUAUAUUUCAUUAAUGCGCAGUAUGACCUCUCGGGCUGCACACCUUUAUCCGGCCUGCUGCUGAAUCUUAAAAUCGCUCUCCACAGCUUCCUCCACCGUCGGUGUGAGCAAGUGGAGAGAGGAAGGCUGCAUAGGGGGAUAUUGAGGUUUCAGGUUCAUUUUGUCUGGUCGAAGAGUGUGUGUAUUUCGAUUUUUAUUGUAUUAUUUUCACUUUUUGCAAGAAGUAAAAGGUAAAGUGAUUCCAAAACUAUCAUAUCCCCCCGGUGAAGGGAGCUUCAGCUGAGGAUCACACUGCGAUGAGCCCGUGGAGGUGAUGGGUUAUUAAGAGCCGAGGUGAAAAGGUGAGGGCAGGAUCACCACGCAGAGGAUCCAAAAAAGGAAAUCGUAGAUAGCUCGAUGCUGCCGGGAAGAUUGCUUUCCAACACAUUAAAGAACCUUGAGUUAAUAAACACAGCUGAGUUGUGGUGGUACGGGCCGGGAGGAUCCUACUGCUGAAUAGAAAGUGAUAAAAACUCAACCUUGUGUUUUCAAAUGUUAGGCUUUUCUUCUUACCUGUGAAUUUCAUACAAGCACUCUAGAGAUUGCUUCACGUCCCAGUUACAGUUCUUUUUUUAGGAAGCCUUUCAUGUGCUUGGAUAUAGAAAUGCACUUCUAAUAUCUAGCGGGAAAAUUUCCCUGCAUGCAUGUACCCAAAAGUAGAAAAAGAUCUUCUCCAGGCAUUCCUGCCAAUGACUUGGCACUCAAAGAAAGCCAGUUAAAGCCACAGUGAGCUUGCAGAAACUAAGAUUAAAAUGUUUGCAUGCAUUGCCACCUCAAAUUAGCAAGAUAAUUCAGUGCUUUCUUAAUUUUUCACCAUGGCUGAGCUAGAGUCUCCUCUACCUUCCUGUGAACAUGACACAUUCUUGAGUCUGAAGAUGUUAAAUAUGGUAAUUUGUAUUCCUCCAUUA